rnacentral:rRNA from 1 species
GAUGAACGCUGGCGGCGUGCCUAAUACAUGCAAGUCGAGCGAACGGACGAGAAGCUUGCUUCUCUGAUGUUAGCGGCGGGCGGGUGAGUAACACGUGGAUAACCUACCUAUAAGACUGGGAUAACUUCGGGAAACCGGAGCUAAUACCGGAUGAUAUUUUGAACCGCAUGGUUCAAAAGUGAAAGACGGUCUUGCUGUCACUUAUAGAUGGAUCCGCGCUGCAUUAGCUAGUUGGUAAGGUAAUGGCUUACCAAGGCAACGAUGCAUAGCCGACCUGAGAGGGUGAUCGGCCACACUGGAACUGAGACACGGUCCAGACUCCUACGGGAGGCAGCAGUAGGGAAUCUUCCGCAAUGGGCGAAAGCCUGACGGAGCAACGCCGCGUGAGUGAUGAAGGUCUUCGGAUCGUAAAACUCUGUUAUUAGGGAAGAACAUAUGUGUAAGUAACUGUGCACAUCUUGACGGUACCUAAUCAGAAAGCCACGGCUAACUACGUG